GACGAACCGAGCGAACGUUGUUCGGAAUCACUGGGCGUAAAGGGCGCGUAGGUGGUGGCUUAAGCGUGCGGUGAAAGCUCGGGGCUCAACUCCGAGUCGGCCGUGCGAACUGGGCUCACUGGAGCAUAGUAGAGGCAGGUGGAAUUCCGGGUGUAGCGGUGGAAUGCGUAGAGAUCCGGAAGAACACCGGUGGCGAAGGCGGCCUGCUGGGCUAUGGCUGACACUGAGGCGCGACAGCGUGGGGAGCAAACAGG
rnacentral:rRNA from 1 species